rnacentral:rRNA from 1 species
UGGAUGAUGUGGAUUAAUUCGAUGCAACGCGAAGAACCUUACUACCCUUGACAUGUCCGGAACCUGCCAGAGAUGGCUUGGUGCCCGAAAGGGAAUCGGAACACAGGUGCUGCAUGGCUGUCGUCAGCUCGUGUCGUGAGAUGUUGGGUUAAGUCCCGCAACGAGCGCAACCCUUGUCAUUAGUUGCUACAUUUAGUUGGGCACUCUAAUGAGACUGCCGGUGACAAACCGGAGGAAGGUGGGGAUGACGUCAAGUCCUCAUGGCCCUUAUAGGUAGGGCUACACACGUCAUACAAUGGAUGGUACAAAGGGUCGCCAACCCGCGAGGGGGAGCCAAUCCCAUAAAACCAUUCGUAGUCCGGAUCGCAGUCUGCAACUCGACUGCGUGAAGUCGGAAUCGCUAGUAAUCGUGGAUCAGAAUGUCACGGUGAAUACGUUCCCGGGUCUU